UACGUAGGGUGCGAGCGUUGUCCGGAAUUAUUGGGCGUAAAGGGCUCGUAGGCGGUUUGUCGCGUCGGGAGUGAAAACUCAGGGCUUAACCCUGAGCCUGCUUCCGAUACGGGCAGACUAGAGGUAUGCAGGGGAGAACGGAAUUCCUGGUGUAGCGGUGAAAUGCGCAGAUAUCAGGAGGAACACCGGUGGCGAAGGCGGUCUCUGGGCAUUACCUGACGCUGAGGAGCGAAAGUGUGGGGAGCGGACAGG
rnacentral:rRNA from 1 species